ensembl:lncRNA
AGAUUUAUUACCAUUUGCAUUUUUAAUUUAAGCAACUGAAAGGCAACUGCAUUAACGAUACAGCAGGGGUCUAAUAGGCAAAUUGGAGCUAAACUGCAAGACACCAGCCCUCCAGGACCAAGUUUAGAGACCCCUGAUCUACGAAGCAAAACCAUGGAUGUUGUAAAUGCUGUGAAAAUGAUCGUACUGGUUUGGACUUUCGCAUCUGUCUGUGAGGCCAGUGAUGAUUCAUGUACCUUCAGUUCAAGCUGUGCUGAUGUGACUGGUACUGUGCAUGAAGAACUAACUCUCACUUGCAGCAUCUCACUGAACUGCACUAAAGAAGCUGAUAAAUGCUGCAUUAUAUCGUACAUGUUUAAGGAUGAAAACACCACAGUAAUCUACAAAAAGGAGUUUCCUAACAAGACCUCUCCUAACAAGACCUGUGAACAAAAGAUCAAAGCCACAUAUGUUUACAAAUCAAGUAAAAACAUCACAGCAAAAUUUACAUUAUUUUCCCAAACAAAUUGUGAGACAAAGGAAACAGAAUUCAUCGUUAACGUAACAGAGUCUGGAGAUAAACCCACCAAUACAGAUACUGUUAAGAAAGGUGAAGCAAAGCUGACAACAUCUGAGGUCACUGUCAUUGUGUUCGCCAUAAUUGUCUUCAUCAUCAUAAUGUUAAUCAUUUAUAGGAAAUACAAUCCCACAAUCCCUUGUCGACACCAGAGAGACUAUAAAACAGCUGAUUCUGCCACAAAAGAUGAUGACAACGGUGAAUAGUCAGAAUGAGCUUCUCAGCCGCACAGCUGGACUGUGUAGCAGUUGUGUUUCACAUCCAGUGCAGGUCAUGAGCCUUUAAACAUGUUUAUAAAAGUGUGUACAGAGGAAUCAUAACUGUCUGUGUUAUUUGGUCUACUCAGUGCACUCUUAUCCUAAGCUGUAUGUUCUGUUUUAUAUUGAUUUCUGUGAAAUAACAGAAUGCUGUCGAUCUGUUUGAUCAGAUUACUGUAUACAGUAAUUAUGUUGAAUGUUCUCAAGUCCUUACACUCUCAGAAAAAAAAAGGUACAAAAUCUGUCACUGGGACGGUACCAGUGUUGGGAAGGUUACUUUGGCAAUGUAACAGGUUACAGAUUACAAGUUACCCUAUUUAAUAAGUAGUGUAACUAUUUCAGUUACUUUAUUGGAGUUACUGAUUACAUUUGAUUACUUUUUGAUAACUUUUCUAAAUCUCUAAUGAAUGUUUUUAACUGGUAAUCAUUUUCAAACAUGUAAAUCAGGCAGGGUUAACCUCACACUAGAAAUCCCUGAUCACUUGAAUUAAGAUUAUAAUAAUGUUUUGGAAAAAAAUUUAAUCUUAAAAAAUAAAGCACAUACAUAAAACCAAAUUGGUGUCUCAUAUUUUAGAGCAGUCAAUGCAAUUUGGGAAAGAAAUCAGUCAAAUCUCUGUCUGUGUGUGUGUGUGUGUCUGUGUGUGUGUGUGUGUGUGUGUGUGUGUGUGUGUGUGUGUGUGUGUGUGUGUGUGUGUGUGUGUGUGUGUGUGUGUGUGUGUGUGUGUGUGUGUGUGAUUGUGUGUGAAAAUAUUCAGAUGUAACCCCCUUUGUAAUCGUUAACAUUUUCAUAAGUAAAUGUAAUCAGUAAGAUUACAGUUACAUUUAUUUUGUAAUUAAAUUACAUAAUUCUGUUACAUGUAACUAGUAACUCCCCAACCCUGGACGAUACCUUAUCAAAAGGUACACCUUUGUACCUUAUUUACCCCUAAACAGUGCAUAUUAGUACCUUAAAGUUACAAAUGAAUACCUUAAGUGUACAUAUUAGUACUUUUUAAAAAGGAACUGCACCAGUGUCAGCUUUUGUACCGUUUCUCUGAGUGUAUAAUCAAGCUCCUAUAUUGACAGGCCUCAGGAAUUUUCUUGGUUUGUUGGGUGUUGUUGUGUUUUUUUUUUUCUUUUUUUUUUCUGUAUCUUCAAACCCUACACAUGAUGUUACUCUUUCUCUGUUGAGUUUUUUAAAAAUACAAAUUAUUAAAGACUUUUGAUGCUCUGUAAUGAUCAAUGUUUGACUGCUUUUUAUUAUCUGGUUUGAUUGUUUUGUAUACCAUAUUAUCACAUUGAAUUAAAGUGAGAUUCUAGUUCGUUUGCUGGAUCCCAUAAUUAAAA